rnacentral:rRNA from 1 species
AGGACGAAUGCUGGCGGUGUGCUUCAUACAUGCAAGUCGAACGGGGUAGCAAUACCUAGUGGCGGACGGGUGAGUAACGCGUGGGAAUCUGCCUUAAGAUGGGGGAUAGCUAGCCGAAAGGCUAAUUAAUACCGCAUAUGUGUAUACUUCGACAGUUUUAUACAUGAAAGUAGUAAUACGUCUUAAGAUGAGCCCGCGUCCGAUUAGCUAGUUGGUAAGGUAAAAGCUUACCAAGGCUACGAUCGGUAGGUGGACCGAGAGGUCGAUCACCCACAAUGGAACUGAGAAACGGUCCAUACUCCUACGGGAGGCAGCAGUAGGGAAUUUUACGCAAUGGGCGAAAAGCCUGACGUAGCGACACCGCGUGAACGAAGAAGCCUUUUUGGGGUGUAAAAGUUCUGUCGGCUGGGAAGAAAAAAAAUGACGGUACCAGCAAAAGGAAGCAUCGGCUAAACUACGUGCCAGCAGCCGC